GUCUAAGGCCAUGCUACCCUGAACAAACCCAAUCCCGUCUAAUUUUGGGAGCUAAACAGGGUUGGACCUGGUUAGUAUUUGGAUGGGAGACCACCUAGGAAGAUCAGGUGCUGUGGGUG
rnacentral:rRNA from 1 species